GCCAGGUGUGGUGGCGCACUCCUAUAAUUCUGGUAGCUCAGGAGGCUGAGACAGGAGGAUUGCAAGUUCAAGGCCAGCCUCAGCAAUUUACUGAGGCCCUAAGCAACUUAGUGAGACUCUGUCUCAA
rnacentral:sRNA from 1 species